rnacentral:misc_RNA from 1 species
CAUCUUCAAUGUUUUUUUUUUUUUUCCUAAUUGAGGCUCCACUUUUUCUGCAGAUUCAAAUUCCCAUGAAGAUUUGUCAUAGCUUAACUCAUUGUCCUCACAUUGAUUUUUUAGUUCCUCCUCAUAAGGUCCAUUCAUCCCCUUGAUUGAUAGUUCAUUUUUAUUCAUUGAUGUUUCAAGAUCAUCCAAUUUAACUACUAUUUCUUUGAGUUUCAUUUGAUGAUCUUCUUGAAUCUUCAAUAAUUGGUUAAAGAAACUUUCAAAUUUUUCUUUUUCCUUAUCAAGUCCUACUCCUUUCUUUUCUUCAAACUCAAAUGGUUGGUGUGAAAUAUUAAAUUGGUAGUGGUAUGGGGGAUAUUGGUGACUCCAACUUUGCAGUGUGGGUCCCAAUGCCAAUGGUAAUCAAAAUCCGCCAUGUCAUUCAAUAAGUGAAUGACAUCCUCGUGUCCUCUUUGAAGAAUGUGAUCACCAGUUGCCCAAACUCCGUAAUCUAACCAAUUUCUUGUUGCUUCAUCCAAACUAUUGUAGAAACAAAGAAUUAGAGACUGAUUUGAAAGGUUGUGGUUGGAAAAUCUCUCUAUCAUAUCAUUGAAUCUUCCCCAAGUGGCAUAAAAGGGCUCCAAGUGUAGUUGAGCAAAACUUGUGAAGACUUGUACAUGAAACAUUUCAAUGAACCUCACAAGAUAAGCAAACGAAAACAAAAUUAGAAAUACAAAAGAAAAAUUCAAAAAGAAAAACACAAAGUAAAGUAAUAAUAAAAGAAAAUUAAAAAGAAAAUGUCUAAAUUAACCAAAUAACCAAAUCAUCUAAUAUCAAACAACAAUUCCCCGGCAACGGCGCCAAAAACU